rnacentral:piRNA from 1 species
UAGAGUUAAUAUUUUUGGUGUCGAUUAGAAC